rnacentral:rRNA from 1 species
GACGAACGCUGGCGGCGUGCUUAACACAUGCAAGUCGAGCGGUAAGGCCCUUUCGGGGGUACACGAGCGGCGAACGGGUGAGUAACACGUGGGUGACCUGCCUUUAGCUCUGGGAUAAGCCUGGGAAACCGGGUCUAAUACCGGAUAUGACUCCGCGGCGCAUGUUGUGGGGUGGAAAGCCUUGUGCGGCUGGAGAUGGGCCCGCGGCCUAUCAGCUUGUUGGUGGGGUGAUGGCCUACCAAGGCGACGACGGGUAGCCGGCCUGAGAGGGCGACCGGCCACACUGGGACUGAGACACGGCCCAGACCCCUACGGGAGGCAGCAGUGGGAAUCUUGCGCAAUGGGCGAAAGCCUGACGCAGCGACGCCGCGUGAGGAUGACGG